rnacentral:rRNA from 1 species
GACGAACGCUGGCGGCGCGCCUAACACAUGCAAGUCGAACGGAGCUGAGAGAAGCUUGCUUUUCUUAGCUUAGUGGCGAACGGGUGAGUAACGCGUGAGUAACCUGCCCUGGAGUGGGGGACAACGGUUGGAAACGACUGCUAAUACCGCAUAAGCCCACGAUCCGGCAUCGGAUUGAGGGAAAAGGAUUUAUUCGCUUCAGGAUGGACUCGCGUCCAAUUAGCUAGUUGGUGAGGUAACGGCCCACCAAGGCGACGAUUGGUAGCCGGACUGAGAGGUUGAACGGCCACAUUGGGACUGAGACACGGCCCAGACUCCUACGGGAGGCAGCAGUGGGGGAUAUUGCACAAUGGGGGAAACCCUGAUGCAGCGACGCCGCGUGGAGGAAGAAGGUUUUCGGAUUGUAAACUCCUGUCGUUAGGGACGAUAAUGACGGUACCUAACAAGAAAGCACCGGCUAACUACGUG